AUACUUACCUGGAUGGGGUCAAUGGGGGAUCAGGAAGACCCAUGGCCUAGACUAGUGACCUCCAUUGCACUUAAGGAGGGGUGCUAGUCUAAGGUCUACCCAAGUGGUGGAGCCUACAUCAUAAUUUGUGGUAGUGGGGGCCUGCGUACGCGCGGCCCCUG